GACGAACGCUGGCGGCGUGCUUAACACAUGCAAGUCGAACGGAAAGGCCCUGCUUUUGUGGGGUGCUCGAGUGGCGAACGGGUGAGUAACACGUGAGUAACCUGCCCUUGACUUUGGGAUAACUUCAGGAAACUGGGGCUAAUACCGGAUAGGAGCUCCUGCUGCAUGGUGGGGGUUGGAAAGUUUCGGCGGUUGGGGAUGGACUCGCGGCUUAUCAGCUUGUUGGUGGGGUAGUGGCUUACCAAGGCUUUGACGGGUAGCCGGCCUGAGAGGGUGACCGGCCACAUUGGGACUGAGAUACGGCCCAGACUCCUACGGGAGGCAGCAGUGGGGAAUAUUGCACAAUGGGCGGAAGCCUGAUGCAGCAACGCCGCGUGCGGGAUGACGGCCUUCGGGUUGUAAACCGCUUUCGCCUGUGACGAAGCGUGAGUGACGGUAAUGGGUAAAGAAGCACCGGCUAACUACGUGCCAGCAGCCGCGGUGAUACGUAGGGUGCGAGCGUUGUCCGGAUUUAUUGGGCGUAAAGGGCUCGUAGGUGGUUGAUCGCGUCGGAAGUGUAAUCUUGGGGCUUAACCCUGAGCGCGCUUUCGAUACGGGUUGACUUGAGGAAGGUAGGGGAGAAUGGAACUCCUGGUGGAGCGGUGGAAUGCGCAGAUAUCAGGAGGAACACCAGUGGCGAAGGCGGUUCUCUGGGCCUUUCCUGACGCUGAGGAGCGAAAGCGUGGGGAGCGAACAGGCUUAGAUACCCUGGUAGUCCACGCUGUAAACGGUGGGUACUAGGUGUGGGGUCCAUUCCACGGGUUCCGUGCCGUAGCUAAUGCUUUAAGUACCCCGCCUGGGGAGUACGGCCGCAAGGCUAAAACUCAAAGGAAUUGACGGGGCCCCGCACAAGCGGCGGAGCAUGCGGAUUAAUUCGAUGCAACGCGUAGAACCUUACCUGGGUUUGACAUGGAUCGGGAGUGCUCAGAGAUGGGUGUGCCUCUUUUGGGGUCGGUUCACAGGUGGUGCAUGCCUGUCGUCAGCUCGUGUCGUGAGAUGUUGGGUUAAGUCCCGCAACGAGCGCAACCCUUGUUCACUGUUGCCAGCACGUUAUGGUGGGGACUCAGUGGAGACCGCCGGGGUCAACUCGGAGGAAGGUGGGGAUGACGUCAAGUCCUCAUGCCCCUUAUGUCCAGGGCUUCACGCAUGCUACGAUGGCUGGUACAGAGAGUGGCGAGCCUGUGAGGGUGAGCGAAUCUCGGAAAGCCGGUCUCAGUUCGGAUUGGGGUCUGCAACUCGACCUCAUGAAGUCGGAGUCGCUAGUAAUCGCAGAUCAGCAACGCUGCGGUGAAUACGUUCCCGGGGCU
rnacentral:rRNA from 1 species